UGCCCACCUCUGCCUCCCAAAGUGCUGGGAUUACAGGUGUGAGCCACCGCACCCAGUCAGCUCACUUAAUUUUCAUGGAAUACAGUGGGCAUUAUGAUCCCAAUUUUACAAGUGAGAAAACUGAGAAGGAGAGAGGUCCCCAAAGUUGCCUAAAGUCACACAGUAAGUGGUAGAGUCAGGAUUCCAGCUGAAGUCUGCUUCCAAAUCCCACCUUCUAACCGCUGCCACUAGACUGCUGUGUCUGCUGGGGUGUUAGGUCACAGGAGAAAAGAGAUAAUGGCUUUGUGACCCGGGAGCUCCGCCUUCACCUCCUCCUGCCAUCCUCAGCAUGAGCCAGCUGCAUGAGGGGUGCUGUGUGCUGGGCUGGAGGAUGGAGCCAUGUGCCACUCCCUCCGAGGCACGCUGUGAAGGUGCAAGUGGUGUGUUCUGAGAGUGCGGAGGAUGAAAACUUCUCACCCAGCUUUCUACAUUCAAGUUUACAAGUGCUGCUCAGGACCCACUGAUUAUUUCCAGGGGAAGAUCACCAAACCGCCUAAGGCCGAGACUCCCAGGAUAGCGCAGCAUGCCCCGGAGUCCCCCAGCUCGAUUUGCUCAGAACUCAGAAAGAAAACAGCCCACACUCCUUGAACUUCAGGCACUGAUGGAGGCAUUUUCCAAAGAACAGUGACAAGGACGGCCAGCACCUCUCUUGCAUUCCUCAGUCUGACUCAAGCUGCUCUUCCACCCUCCUCCCCAGCUGGAGCUGAGGCUGAAGGCAGUUGAGGGCCACCAGGGAGAAGAGCUGGGUCAGGGCCGUGACUUGCCAGCAAGCAUGAGGCCAAGCAGAUGUGCCGGGCUUCAGAGAAGUGAUUUUACCCUGAGCUACACAGGCAGGAAGACCACCAGCCUGGAAGGGCCCUUCAGCCACUUUCCCAACAAACAGCAAAUCUCCGCCGAUUGAACUCUGACUGAGGCAAUGGGGGCAUGCCAGGCAACAAGGUGGAGGUUUGCUACCGUGGGAGCAGGGAGAGCGUGGAACACAGACGCUCUGGGUGUUGAAGAGGAGGCUUCACCCUUAAAUCCACACCAACAGCCCCCUUCACUUCCCCCGGUGAAGAACGAAGGACCCUGUGGGAUUUCUACUUCAAAUCUCUCAUUUAUUCCGACAUCCACUCGGUUAUGACUCCAAGUUAUCAAAGAUGCAAGACAAGAAGUCUAGAGCAGGAGUGGUGAAGUGGAGGUGGAGAAAGACGGCGGAGAGGGCUGUGUUCCUGGCCCCUCCUUCUCUUCCAAUUUAGGGCACCGUUUGAAAAGUGUACAAGUAGUGUCCCUUAGCACAGACUAGACAGCAGAAAAGGACAGUGCAGUUGAGUGGGGGAAGCUUCCUUUUCCACAGGGUGGGGCCCUGCGGCUGCAGCGGGCAGGCAGGCAAUCUCGAGCCUGGUUGGAGACCGUGCCCUGAGCAGCGUGGGCUAUGUGGGGAAGAGCUGGGGCCCACCAUCUCUCCAGCACCCCAAACCCAGAUUCUGAUUUGUGGGGCUAGCAGGGCUUAGCUAGGAAAGCGGUAGGAGGGAGGGGAUUGCACAGGACGCUUGUACUCAGGGACCCCAUCAAUCAGGGGCAAGAAGUGGGUGAUGGUUAACUGGGUCUUGAUUUUUACAAAGGCAGGACGUACGAAUGAUGUUAUUUCUGGCAAGGAGGACACGGCUGCUGUGGUUGAUUGGCUGUGGAAUUCCAGGGGAGCAAGGCACUAGGAAGUGGGGAACGCUGCCAGGCCCAGCAGCUCAUCAGGAGCUUGCACUUGGCCCAGUUAGGGCUGGCCGUGGGACGGGCUUGUUGAAGCUGCUGCCGCCAUAAGCUGCCCCUCUGCACCAGGAGACAGAUCCCAUUACCCCACCUACAGCUGCUUCCUGGUACAAGAGAAGAGUUACCAUUUGAAAUGACUCCACAGGAGAGUCUGACAAACAUGUUUGCUUUUCACUGACAAUUAAAAUUGUUUUGCUGCUAAUCUUGUUUUAUUGUGGUCUUUCAUCCAUCAGCAAGCAUCCCUGCACGCAAGAUCAGAGUUGGGUAAAUACAUCCAGACCCUGCCAGGAUUAGGGCAAGAGGGAGUGCUCUGGGCCGGCAGAUCUUUUUCGGAAAUUCUCACUUCUUGGAGCACUAAAGGGUUGUUAGUCUAUCUGGGCAAGCCUCGUUUCCCUGGAGAAAAUGGAGUCUCAGAGAUUAGUGACUGGUCCUAGAGCUAAUGAGUGACCAAAGUGUGACCAGAGCCCAGGUCUGCUUCUCAACCCAGGGCACUUUGAUUCCAGAUUGAGAUGUAAGGUGACAGGUGCCUUAAUAGUGGCGCAAAAGAUGUGCAUUCCCCUCUUCCUCCCUCCCCGCUCCCUGCUCCCCCAGCGGCACCCUGACCUUCCUCAAAUGCAGAAUCAAGAUUUCAGCAGGGGGGCCAGCCCUUUCCCUGCCCCACCCUCCUCGAAUUCAGUGACUCAGGAGUGGGAAGGGGGUUAGCUAUGCCCUUAGAAGGGGGCCAGCUUCUGCAGAGGCCACUGGAAAACUCAUCAGGAUUCUCACUCACAAAGCCACUGCCACAUUCUAAGUAGGAAGUCGGAGUUGGAAAUGAGGCUGGUGUGAGACACAAUAAAUGGCUCAUCGCCAGGAAACUGGGGAGUAGGGCGGCCAAGGGAGGGCGGCGAGCGUGGAAUCCCAAGGCUAAGUCACGUCCCUCCCAUCCUCAGGACUGGGCUGUUGCUCUGGUGAGAUGAAUGAAGAUCCUGCUCCACGGCGUCACAGGUGGAUGCUUACAUAGAAUGCCGGGCUCUGGGGGACUUGACGUGGUUUCAGCCGCUGCAGCAUCGCCCCACAGAGAUUCUGUGCUCUUCCUGUUCACCAGCCCGCUGUCUGCCAUGGGGAUUGGUCACGUGUUAACCACCUUUCGUUCAAGCUGUUUCGGGAUCAGACUUUUCCUUCUCUGGUACAUGGGAGACCUUUCCUCUCUGCAGCUCCUGAAUGUACAAAGCCCCUGGUGCCUACCCGUGGUUACUGUGUGUGUGUGUGUGUGUGUGUGUGUGUGUGUGUGUCUGUGCGCGCGCGCGCGCGUGCGUACACCUGGGAACGGUUAUGCACACCCUCACAGGACUGCAUCCACACAAGCUACUCGGCGUGGUGGGCUGGGCCGAGAGACAGUCAGCUGGUCUCUUUGCUAAGCUACCAGAAGUCGGCUAACAAAAUGAAAAAACUUCUCCAGCAGGGGGCGCUGGUUCCUAAGUCAGAGAAAGGAUUUCGGGGAACACAAGGUUAGACACUUUCUGGUGCAGUCCCCACAAGCCACCUUAGGCUUUAAAGUCAACUUGACACGUCCCACGAGGAAGGGGGCAGGUGAGAUGUGAUACGUUCAGGAAUCAACGACCCUACGGGAGCAGCUACAGUGACAGCAGUAGCUAUGGUAACCAACGUACAAAGCUGGGCUGUGAACUAGCUGUUGGAGUCGUUUCAGCAAGCGCGUCCUGAAGCAGUGCCGUUGACGCCCCGCCCCUCGCUUCUCCAAUGCUGGAAUUGUAGCUCUCACUUCUCUCCUUGCCCUCUGUCCCCUUUUCCUAGGCACGGAUGCUUCAUCUCCCGAGGACCCGGGAGGCCUCCUGAGCCUUUGCUGAGCUUUCCCUGGUGCUCCUUUUUGCAGUCCAGCGAAUCCAGGGGACUGGGGCACACUGCAAGGGGUUGUGGUGGUGCUGGGGCUGCCAGAGGAGUGUCCCAACCAAGAAACUGGCGAAGCUGCAGACUCGACCUAGCAGUCCCCCACCUCUGGCCCACAGAGUUGGAGCCAGGCCCUGUCUUGGUUCUCAAUGCACUCAAAAGCUUAAAUCCUAGUAAACCCUCCACUGCGGAGCGAGAAAA
rnacentral:lncRNA from 1 species